AAAAAUAUUGGCCACAGGGUCUAAGCCUCGAGAAAUCUUAGAAAAGAGCCUAUACAUCCUUGAUAAAUCUUCAACCUUAUCAUCUCUCAGUAACGCAUGGCAUCCAGAGUGCUCCUUCUCAAGAAGUUGAGUGGCAUACACAGACAACAACUCAUGUUGCACUUUCUCAAGCAACUUCGUCUCGCUGCUUGAAUGGAGAUAAUGAGAGACCCUAUCCUUCUCCCGUUUCAAGCACUCCUCGGCUUUCAGCAUAUAAUCCGGACAUGAAUCUUCGAGGAUCCAAUUAGAAGCUUUGCGAGAAUAAUAAGCCGCUGUGUCCUUGAGCAUUGCAGCUUCAAAAUCAUUCUCAUAAUAAUCCAUUAACCCCAUUCCAAUUUCGACAAAUAUAUCAAGCACAUUCUUAAGUAGAGCUCUGUCAAUUUGCUCUCCCUCACGCUCUUGAUCAAUCAGAGAUAUAACAGCAUCCCUGACUUUUCCAUUCAACUCUUGGUAGACCUGAUCGCGGAAGCAAGUUAGUCCAACUUCAUUAAGCCCCGGCAGAGAUCUCCGGGCAAUGAAAUACCGGUCAAGGUAAUGGAAGAAUCUUGACAACCAUCUGACCAUGACUUUAUGAUUUGACCACCUUUUUACCAACUCUCGCAACAUAAACUCGUCAUGUUUUUCUCUCAAAGAAGGCAAUACCGUUGUUGUGAUAUAUUCUUCAAAAGCUUCACGAUAUUUGUCAUACAGCUGUUGAGAAUAAUCAUGUGGGGGCUUUUGAGUACACAUGUUGUAAAUUGUCGUAUAUAGCAUCAUAUAGUCCUCUGAGCUGAAUUGAGGCUCAGGCAGCCCUUCUAGAAUGUUCUUCAGCUUUGUAAUGCCCCUUUGCAUGAAGUCCCAUCCAUGUUCCAGAUCGAUUGUGCUUCGUUGGUUCAUUGUGAUUUCAGUAUCUUCACACUUUCACAGAAUGCAACCCUACACAAAUUCUAAGCACCUGUGGCCCUAUUAUGUCACCGGAGAGCGAAUGAAUUUUCCAAAAUGGUGAUCGAGAAUCUAGACCCAACGAGGGCACAAGACGGAGCUGCCAGGAGCCAUGAUGAGAAGAAGAGAAUCGGUGAGAUGUGAAUCACUAUUUUCCCUUUUA
rnacentral:misc_RNA from 1 species